AAACCAGUCGAUCUAUCCAUGGCCAGGUUGAAAGUAGGGUAACACCUACUGGAGGACCGAACCGGUGCCUGUUGAAAAAGUCUCGGAUGAGCUGUGGAUAGGGGUGAAAGGCCAAUCAAGGCUGGAAAUAGCUGGUUCUCCGCGAAAUCUAUUUAGGUAGAGCCUCGAGUGAAUACCCCGAGGGGGUAGAGCACUGGAUGGGCUACGGGGCCCCCACAGGGUUACCAAACCUAACCAAACUCCGAAUACCUGGGAGUACUACUCGGGAGACACACGGCGGGUGCUAACGUCCGUCGUGAAAAAGGGAAAAACCCUGACCGACAGCUAAGGUCCUCAAGUCAUGGCUAAGGUGGGAAAGGAUGUGGAAAUCCCAAAACAACCAGGAGGUUGGCUUAGAAGCAGCCAUCCUUUAAAGAAAGCGUAACAGCUCACUGGUCUAAAUAAGGGUUUCUGCGCCGAAAAUGUAACGGGG
rnacentral:rRNA from 1 species